UUAAAAAAACCAUUAAAACAAAUAAAGAAAGAGAGAGAACCAAUACAAUUUUUGUUGCAUAGUGCAAGAUUAUAAAAUAUUCCUGAAGACAGAGUCAUAAAGCCAUUAAGCAAUAAAUUUUAAUGGAGAAAAUUUGGUUCACACAUCAAUCUCCAACCAUCAAGCGGUCGACCAAGAAUACAAUUUGAGGUGGGAAGAAGAUAUGGGUUUGUCUUCUCUACUUUGCUCUGUGGUUGCAGUUUUCAUAAUUGCUGCUAUGCUUGCCUUGCAACUUGGAGUGGUUAGUUCAGAUAUGAAUACUAGGAAACUGCGAGGAGAGGAUAAAGGUUCUCCCUAUCACCCGGCUCCGUCCCGAAAUGGUCCUGUGAACGAGGGACCGGGUCACUGAUUCUACUCCUCCAAAUGCAAUUGGGCUUUCAUCAAAAAAAAAAAAAGAUAUAUGCAGUUGGGCCGGAUUAAGCAAUAGCCUGCAAAGCUAGCUUAUUCUCCAGUUCCGAUUUCCAUCAGCAUACCAAUUAAUAUCAACUUCACUUGUUUGGAAAGUAAAUUUGCAUAAUCAAAUAAAUUACGUAUUUCUGUGUUGUUCCUAAA